rnacentral:misc_RNA from 1 species
GCAUUGCCCGUGAUCAUAAUCGAUGAGAUCCUGAAAUUCAUUGGAAGGCUUACUAGUGGGUUGAGGACUUCUCGCCCGAGCAGAUUAUCAAAGCAGAAAUCGGAGUAAACAUGGGGAGGUAUCAUCGGCAGCAUUUAUGAUGUGAAUUCAUUAAUGACAAAAGAGUGGAAACUAGAGUUGAUGUUUCUGAACAUUAUUCGCCAUAGAGAAAUGGAUGGGUCUUGUUUUAUGACUCCCAUUUCUUUAACUCACAUUUUGGCA